rnacentral:tRNA from 1 species
GGGCCUAUAACUCAGUUGGUUAGAGUAGUGGACUCAUAAUCCAUUUGUCCCAGGUUCGAGUCCUGGUGGGCCCACCA